rnacentral:rRNA from 1 species
AGAGUUUGAUCAUGGCUCAGGAUGAACGCUAGCGGCAGGCUUAACACAUGCAAGUCGAGGGGUAACAGUCUUGAGCAAUCGAGAGCUGACGACCGGCGCACGGGUGCGUAACGCGUAUGCAACCUACCUUUAACUCGGAGAUAGCUCAGAGAAAUCUGAAUUAAUAUCCCAUAAUAGAAUAAUUGGCAUCAUUUAUUCUCAAAGCUCCGGCGGUUAAAGAUGGGCAUGCGUGACAUUAGCUAGAUGGUGAGGUAACGGCUCACCAUGGCUACGAUGUCUAGGGGGCCUGAAAGGGUGAUCCCCCACACUGGUACUGAGACACGGACCAGACUCCUACGGGAGGCAGCAGUGAGGAAUAUUGGUCAAUGGGCGAAAGCCUGAACCAGCCAUGCCGCGUGCAGGAUGACAGCCCUACGGGUUGUAAACUGCUUUUGUACGGGAAGAAACCUUCGGACGUGUCCGAAGCUGACGGUACCGUAAGAAUAAGCAUCGGCUAACUCCGUGCCAGCAGCCGCGGUAAUACGGAGGAUGCAAGCGUUAUCCGGAUUUACUAGGUUUAAAGGGUGCGCAGGCGGAAUGGUAAGUCAGUGGUGAAAUCUCCUCGCUUAACGGGGAAAUUGCCAUUGAAACUGUCAUUCUUGAGUGUAGUUGAGGUGGUUGGAAUGUGUUGUGUAGCGGUGAAAUGCGUAGAUAUAACACAGAACACCGAUUGCGAAGGCAGAUCACUAAACUACUACUGACGCUGAGGCCACGGAAAGCGUGGGGAGCGAACAGGAUUUAGAUACCCUGGUAGUCCACGCCCUAAACGAUGAUUACUCGCUGUUGGCGAUACACUGUCAGCGGCUAAGCGAAAGCAUUAAGUAAUCCACCUGGGGAGUACGAUCGCAAGGUUGAAACUCAAAGGAAUUGACGGGGGGCCCGCACAAGCGGAGGAACAUGUGGUUUUAAUUCGAUGAUACGCGAGGAACCUUACCUGGGCUUAAAUGCAGAACGACCGCUGCCGAAAGGUGGCUUUCCUUCGGGACGGACUGCAAGGUGCUGCAUGGUUGUCGUCAGCUCGUGCCGUGAGGUGUCGGGUUAAGUCCCAUAACGAGCGCAACCCUCAUCGUUAGUUGUCAGCGAGUCAUGUCGGAUACUCUAACGAAACUGCCGGUGUAAACCGGAGGAAGGUGGGGAUGACGUCAAAUCAGCACGGCCCUUAUGUCCAGGGCUACACACGUGUUACAAUGGUCAGGACAAUGAGCAGCCACUUGGCGACAAGGAGCUAAUCUUCAAACCUGAUCUCAGUUCGGAUCGGAGUCUGAAACUCGACUCCGUGAAGUCGGAUUCGCUAGUAAUCGCGCAUCAGCCAUGGCGCGGUGAAUACGUUCCCGGGCCUUGUACACACCGCCCGUCAAGCCAUGGAAGCCGGGGGUACCUGAAGUCCGUAACCGAAAGGAGCGGCCUAGGGUAAAACUGGUAACUAGGGCUAAGUCGUAACAAGGUA